GACGAACGCUGGCGGCGUGCUUAACACAUGCAAGUCGAACGGAAAGGCCCUGCCUUUGUGGGGAGCUCGAGUGGCGAACGGGUGAGUAACACGUGAGUAACCUGCCCUUGACUUUGGGAUAACUUCAGGAAACUGGGGCUAAUACCGGAUAUGAGCUCCUGCUGCAUGGUGGGGGUUGGAAAGUUUCGGCGGUGGGGGAUGGACUCGCGGCUUAUCAGCUUGUUGGUGGGGUAGUGGCUUACCAAGGCUUUGACGGGUAGCCGGCCUGAGAGGGUGACCGGCCACAUUGGGACUGAGAUACGGACCAGUCUGCUACGGGAGGCAGUAGUGGGGAAUAUGGCACAAUGGGCGGAAGCCUGAUGCAGCAACGCCGCGUGCGGGAUGCCGGCCUUCGGGUUGUAAACCGCUUUGGCCGGUGACGAAGCGUGAGUGACGGUAAUGGGUAAAGAAGCACCGGCUAACUACGUG
rnacentral:rRNA from 1 species